AUGUUCACCAAAUGAGGCUGUGCACCAUCCGAUUGCCAAAAGGAAUCAAGAUUGUCAUCACAGAGAGUGCAGACGCCAUUGCCAGGUUUGCAAGAGCUGACACUCCAAGCAGCUUUUUUGCCCAUUUCUCUGAGGUCAUCAUCUACAAUCAAGUGCUGAUUCCCCCCUGUAAUCUUCCCUUCUUCUUCUCCCUCUGAUGACUCUGUUGCCAUUUUCUACCAGUUGUUGGGAUGGAUGAAACGUGCUCCGAUGAGUUUAAGAAAGAAGUGUUGCCUUGGACACUCUAUACUAAGGCACGGACCGGGUGCGGCGGUGGCUUGUAGAGAUAGUGGAUGGUUUUGGUCGAAAUAGGUUGGAAUUGCGGGUGUGAUGGCGGUUGAUUUAGUGGUGGGAAUGGAAAUGGUAGUUUCGUGGAGGCUGGAGGAAAAGAAUAGACAAUGGAUCCUUGUUAUACAGGAGAAAUUUUGAGAAUUUUGAGAAUUUUGGGUUGGAGAUGGUGGCUGAGCGCGGCGUGUCCAGGGGUGGGCGCUAGGGAAGGAGGGAAAUUGGGCUUAAGAUUUUCAAUGAAAAAC
rnacentral:misc_RNA from 1 species